rnacentral:rRNA from 1 species
CAGCCGCCGCGGGAAUACGUAGGUGGCAAGCGUUGUCCGGAAUUAUUGGGCGUAAAGGGCUCGCAGGCGGUUUCUUAGGUCUGAUGUGAAGGCCCCCGGCUCAACCGGGGAGGGUCAUUGGAAACUGGGAAACUUGAGUGCAGAAGAGGAGAGUGGAAUUCCACGUGUAGCGGUGAAAUGCGUAGAGAUGUGGAGGAACACCAGUGUCGAAGGCGACUCUCUGGUCUGUAACUGACGCUGAGGAGCGAAAGCGUGGGGAGCGAACAGGAUUAGAUACCCGUGUAGUCCCUGUCUCUUAUAC